GGAGAGGUGUCCGAGUGGUUUAAGGUGCCAAUCUCGAAAAUUGGUGAGGUGUUGAGCCUCCGAGGGUUCGAAUCCCUCCCUCUCCGCCC
rnacentral:tRNA from 1 species